rnacentral:misc_RNA from 1 species
GAAAUGCGAUAAGUAAUGUGGAUUGCAGAAUUCCGUGAAUCAUCGAAUCUUUGAACGCACAUUGCGCCCUCUGGCAUUCCGGGGGGCAUGCCUGUCCGAGCGUCAUUACGCACCCUCAAGCCCGGCUUGUGUGAUGGGCCCCGGCGUCUCGUUCGCGAGACGGGCCCGAAAGGCAGCGGCGGCGUCGACCCGAUGAGCCCGAGCGUAUGGGGACUUCUGUCACACGUUCGCGGUGCGGACCGGCGCCUGCUUGACUUUUCUGAUUAUCCAGGUUGACCUCGGAUCAGGUAGGGAUACCCGCUGAACUUAAGC